rnacentral:rRNA from 1 species
UACGUAGGGGGCAAGCGUUGUCCGGAUUUAUUGGGCGUAAAGAGCGUGUAGGCGGCUUGGUAGGUCCGCUGUGAAAACUCGAGGCUCAACCUCGAGAUGUCGGCGGAAACCACUUGGCUAGAGUCCGGAAGAGGAGAGUGGAAUUCCUGGUGUAGCGGUGAAAUGCGCAGAUAUCAGGAAGAACACCCGUGGCGAAGGCGGGUCUCUGGGCAGUAACUGACGCUGAGGAGCGAAAGCGUGGGGAGCGAACAGG